GACGGUAGGGGACGAGCGUUGUCCGGAUUCAUUGGGCGUAAAGCGCGCGCAGGCGGUCCCUUAAGUCUGAUGUGAAAGCCCACGGCUCAACCGUGGAGGGUCAUUGGAAACUGGGGGACUUGAGUACAGAAGAGGAAAGCGGAAUUCCACGUGUAGCGGUGAAAUGCGUAGAGAUGUGGAGGAACACCAGUGGCGAAGGCGGCUUUCUGGUCUGUAACUGACGCUGAGGCGCGAAAGCGUGGGGAGCAAACAGG
rnacentral:rRNA from 1 species